CUAAUACUCCCUCCGUCCAACAAAGAAUGUCUCAACUUUAACUUGAAUGCAUCGAUACACUAAGUCACAUCUAGAUACAUCCAAAUUUUGACAAACUUGAGACAUCUUUUGUUGGAUGGAGAGAGUACCAC
rfam:Brachypodium distachyon strain Bd21 chromosome 4, whole genome shotgun sequence.